UACGAAGGGGGCUAGCGUUGCUCGGAAUCACUGGGCGUAAAGCGCACGUAGGCGGACUCUUAAGUCGGUGGUGAAAUCCUGGAGCUCAACUCCAGAACUGCCUUCGAUACUGGGAGUCUCGAGUCCGGGAGAGGUGAGUGGAACUGCGAGUGUAGAGGUGAAAUUCGUAGAUAUUACUCGGAAGGCCAAAGGCGAAGGCAGGUUACUGGUACGCAACUGACGCUGAGGCACGAAAGCGUGGGGAGCAAACAGG
rnacentral:rRNA from 1 species